rnacentral:rRNA from 1 species
GACGAACGCUGGCGGCGUGCCUAAUACAUGCAAGUAGAACGCACAGUUUAUACCGUAGCUUGCUACACCAUAGACUGUGAGUUGCGAACGGGUGAGUAACGCGUAGGUAACCUGCCUGGUAGCGGGGGAUAACUAUUGGAAACGAUAGCUAAUACCGCAUAAUAUUGAUUAUUGCAUGAUAAUUGAUUGAAAGAUGCUAUUGCAUCGCUACCAGAUGGACCUGCGUUGUAUUAGCUAGUAGGUGAGGUAACGGCUCACCUAGGCGACGAUACAUAGCCGACCUGAGAGGGUGAUCGGCCACACUGGGACUGAGACACGGCCCAGACUCCUACGGGAGGCAGCAGUAGGGAAUCUUCGGCAAUGGACGAAAGUCUGACCGAGCAACGCCGCGUGAGUGAAGAAGGUUUUCGGAUCGUAAAGCUCGGUUGUAAGAGAAGAACGGGUGUGAGAGUGGAAAGUUCACACUGUGACGGUAUCUUACCAGAAAGGGACGGCUAACUACGUG